UUUUCGCGGUGGAGCGACAUUGUGCAGACGUUGAUGCUAAAGUAACACUCACAGAUCUUUCUUCUCAGAAGAUACGGGUUUAGAAGAAACCAUAAGAGAGCUGAUGGCUUGGAGAAGCCACAAGCGUUUCUCCCUCCCUCCAAUAGAGAGCACAGGGACCCAGGGUUAUGUCCCUAAAUCCACACCAGCGACGAUUUGCCCAGAUACGUCGCCCCCUGCAUAUUUGGGAAACAGAAUGUAUGUGACUGGUUCAACCAGUCACAUCUACCAGGAUGAUUCGGCCUAUGACGGCAAAUCAUUGGCCUGUGACAGUUCAACCAGCAAGGCCUUCUGGAACGAUGGACAUGGCAGCUCAACUUCCAGCAGUUU